GGGAAGAUGGCUCAGUGGUAGAGCACUUGCCUUGCAUGCAGGAGGCCCUGGGUUCGAUUCCUCAG
rnacentral:tRNA from 1 species